AGACAGAGACUAACAGUUUAACUCUUGCCAAUCUGCAGACACCCGCUUAAGCAACCCUUCCACGGCGGGGACCCACCAGGGCCACGCCCCACCAACUACGGGCGGCUCCCUGAUUCCUUGGCGUCCCCACUUAGGAAGUCGCUGUUACAGGAUUUUAUGCCCCUCUUAGGCAAUUACACACUUCUUAUGUAUAUAAAUCUCUUUAUCAACUUUUCGCAUGCGCAGCUUUUGACGUCUGGAGCCUCCAACAUCUGUUAUUUUAACUUAAAUGAUCGAGAUUCGAUUUGGUGAAGCCUAUUCUUCUAUCACCAACACAGGCGUUCACCUGUCACAGCUAUCAUCAAGGUCAGACUUCAAGCCAAUCCUGUUCGUGAUGCCAAUUGUGUUGUGGAGCAAGCAAUGGUCUUCUCAAAGUCCUAAAAUAAAUCUCAAGAAAGGGAGUUCCAGAUGUCAAAAUAAGACUUUAUUGAUCACAGCAAUAAAGCCGAGAUGACGGCCGCCGCAUCUGAAUCAUCUGUCUGUCUGCGCACUCCUCUUAUACUCCUUUUUUCUUACCAAAUUUGGUAGUUCCUAGCCUGCCCGGUUUGCCACACUAUAUCACUAGUCCACCUAGACACCCGCUCAAGCAACCCUUCCACGGGCGGGGACCGUGCCAUUACUUGCUGGACUUCUAAAACAGGCAGAACACUCAGCAGACCGUCGUCAUGGACCCUCUCAGCAUACAGCCAGUGAGUCCCAUGAAUCUUCUGAAUCUCAACAGUUUAUACCAACUGUAGGGGAACAAGCCGAAAUUGAUCGCCACACUAAUCGAUGGCACAAACAGGAGCGAGACCCAAAGGAACACGAUUGUCAUGAUUGUCACAUCAGAUUG
ensembl:lncRNA